UUCCUUUCGGGUAGUGAACAGCGCCGCUCAGAUCCUGCCUUCAUUCUAUCGUCACUUCUGGAAGUGAACAGGACCGGACAUCAACUACAGGUUUAUUUCUUCUCCCAAUCGACACUACGAGGCCAUGACGAGGCGCAAUACCGGCGCCUGCCUGGCGCCACUCUUGCUGCUGGCCACGCUGGGAGGCGCCUCUGUGCCCACUGGCCUGGACAUGAAGCUGCUCAGGGAGGUGACGUCGAAUCCGAUGAACAACCAUGUGAUCUCGCCGUUCCUGAUGU